CAUGAGACCUGGAGGGGGUAAAUAAUCUACUGGGGUCACACAGCUAGCAAGUGACACAAUAGGAUUCUGUGGCAGAGACUCCUAGUUGCCUACCUAGUAUUCAUGCCCUUCGUCUUCCUGAGUCAAUGGAAUCCUGUAUUGCUGACUGUAGCAGUUUGCCAACCUACAAAACUACUUCUGCCAGCCUGCUAAGGAGAUACAAAACAUUUCAACUUUAUAAGAUGGUUUGGAAUUGCUCACGUUUCUGUAGCAACGGAACCUCUAAACAGUACUUUUUAAACUGUAAUAGGCCUACAAGUCACGUGGAGCUCCUAGAAAUGCAGGUCCCGAUUGAGUAGGUUUGGAGUGGAGCCUGAGAUUCUGCAUUUCUAACAAGCUGCAGGUGAUGCCGCUACUGCUGGUUCCCGGACCACGCUUUCAGUAAUAAGACCCUCAGUGCCAGGGUUCUGAAUGCUGGCUUGGCACUGAAUCAACUAGGGAGCUUUGAAAAAGACAUGCUCAUGACCACCCCCUCCCCUCAGAUUUCCCAAUUAGUUACCUCUGGAAUAGUUGCUGGGAGCUAGAUUUUUGAAGUUCUGUGUAAGGUGACACUCAGCUUAGGCUCCCAUUAAAAAAUGUGAUGUUAA